rnacentral:lncRNA from 1 species
GGCGAGCGCGCGUGCUCCCGGAUCCUCGGCAGUGUCCGGCGCCCCCUUCCCUUCGCCAGGCCCGUUUGGCGCCUUCACUCGGGAAGACGUCGGCCAGGACUUUGCGCUUUGGAGACGUCUUACUUCGGCAGCACUCGCACACUGCGAGAUCCGACACGGGCAGCGGGGACCUAGGGAGCCGGGGACGCUGCCUGUCGGGUACGGUUCCGCAGCUACCGCAGCCCCGUGGGCCAUGGUUAGUCUCCCCCCGACACCGCUCCCUCUAGAGCUCCGGGCUUCGGAAGCGGCUGCACGUGGGCAUGGCUGGAGAGGUUCCGCUGGCUUGGGGCAGUCGCCGGGAUUCCGACUGGUUGGUGUGGGGUGUGGCCUGUGCUAUCCAGCUCCCAGCUGAUCCUAAUGUGCGGCACAGCGGAAACCACCGGUCCACAUCAGUGCUUCUCACUUAAAGGGGCUUACGAAUCGUCGGGGGUGGGGGAGCUGGACUUGGAAUUUUUUAAGAGAUGAGGUCUCACUCUGUCACCCAGGCUGGAGUGCAGUGGCGCGAUUACGGCUCACUGCAGACUAGACCUCCUGGGCUCAACUUUAAUGUAAAUUGGGAUUGGGUAGGUCUGUAAGGGGACCCGAGCUCCCCUCCCAUGUUGUUGCCAAGCUCCUGAGCUCGGCCUGGUGGCGGGUGGGGGCCGGGAGGAGAAGGACACGUUAGUAAGGAAGCUGCAGGACGACUCCAGGGGCCUCCCACCUGGUCUCCACCCCCCUCCCCCACCCAUUCUUGACGCUGCAUCCAUGAUUGUUCUAAACAACCUAAAGCAGAAAUCUUAGAGCAAAUAACGAAAACUGGCAGAAGGCCAUUUGAUAUCUCCUUAAAAAAUUCAUGUAAAAAAUUACAUAAACGUUUCAAAGCAGUAUGUAUAAAUUUGAAAUACUGGAAAUGAACGCAGACCAUUAAAGGAAUAGUUAAUUAUUUGAUUCCAUUAUGAAAUACUGUCUAGCCGUCUUAAAAAGGUGUUCAUGAAGCUUUUAGUAUUCAGCAAAACCAAAACAAAUCCCCCUGAAAUAUAGUUUUAACUAUGGAAGAAAAAAAUGUAUAGGAAAAUAACGAAAUAGCCUUUUCGGAGUGAUUUUCUUUUUAACUUCUCGUUUUUAAAUAUUUAAUCAUUUUCUACGAUGGGAAACACCACUUCCUCACACACACUCAUGCUCCCAGACUUUAUUUAGCUACAAACGGCAUCAUAAUACAAAUACUGUUCUGCAGUCCGUGUGUGUUUCAAUGCAACUGCAUUUCUCAGACAUGUUUCUAAGAUUUGAGUCCUUAGUAAAUUUUGUAUUCCAUAUCUCAUUACCUUGAGAUAAGGAAUAAAAGGCCCUGUCCAACCCUGUCACCUGGAAGAGCAUCCAGGCCCUUUAAGGCUUAGUCUAUCUAGGAUUAUGCCUUCAGACUUGGAUACAGCCUCCCGUCCUAACCGGCCCCUGUAUUCAUUACCUCUCCUGUAUGUUUUCAGAGCCCACCAAGGAGCGGCCAUCGCUACUCACUGGCCACUCUUGAAUCCUUUUUGGCUCCUUUUCCUCAGUCCAACCUGGGUUCCUCAGAGAAGAGACUGUAGUCCUGGGACUGCAUUUCUUUUCCGCCCUCUCCCUAUGUGACUGCCCCAAUUCCCAUGGAUUUAAAUAGCAUCUUGACACACAAGAUGCCUCACUUAUCGUCUCCGGCCCUGGCCUCUGCCUGAAUUCCAGGCUAGAAUAUCCACAGUGCGUAAUGGACAUAUGCCCUUAGGUGUUGCACAAACAUCUCAAAUUGAACAUAUCCGGAAAAAUACACUUCUGAACUUCGUAGCAUUCAGAAUAAAACUCAAACCUCCAGAUGGCCGGCAGGGCCUCCAGUGAUGGGAAUCCUGUCUCACCUCACUUGGUGCCACUCUCCCCUUUACUCAUUUUCCUGGCCUUUCCCCGGCCCCACUUACCCAGAAAUCUUUUACUGUGCAUCUCCUAUGUGCCAGGCACCUGAUAGGUGCUGGGAAUAUAGCAGUGGAUGAGAAAGAAAAAAGACCCAGUCCUCAUGGAGCUGACUUCCUAGUGACAGGAGCAGCGGAUAAAGCAAAUCACUGAAGGCAGCUGGAAAUUACUUUCCGGUUAAGAGGACAGGCUCCUUCCCCUCCUCACAUGGCUACCUUCAGAUCACUUGGGUCUCAGCUUAAACACCACCUAUUGACAGAGGCCUCGCAUGUUACCUCAUUCUUUAGCCCUACUUUGCAUCCUUAAAAAGCACUCAUCAAAAUUUGCAAUUAUCUUGUCGGGUUUUUGUUCUUUGGUCUUGAUUCAUAAUGAAUGCAUCGCACUAUUUUGUAAAUCCAGUGUUUCGUUUCGUGUCUUGAAUCCCAUCCAUUCCAGCGCAUAGAUGAGGCCCUGUCUGUUCAACAUUCAUCACCGUGUUUACUAUCUAGAGCAGCAAUUCUCAAAGUAUGGUAAUUGGGACCCGAAGACUCUUCACAGGGUUCAUGAGCGCAAAACUAUUUUCAGACCAACAUGUUCUCUGCCUUCCUUCGCUCAUGAGUACAUAGUGGAAUUUUCUAGAGGUUACACAAUUUGAAUAUUGCAACACAUUGAACGAAGACGCAGGUACCAGAACAUAGCUAUCUCCUAUUAAGCCAGACAUUAAAGAGAUUUGAAAAAAUACAAAAUACUGCUUUUGGCUAGGCAAAGUGGCUCGCACGUAUAAUCUUGGCACUUUGGGAGGCUGAGGAAUUGCUAGAGACCAGCCAGGGCAACCCUACUAAAAAAUUAGCUGGGCGUGGUGGCACAUGCCUGGGGUCCCAGCUACUCAGGAAGCUGAGGUGGGAGGAUCGCUUGAGCCCAGGAGUUUGAGGGUGUAGUGAGCUAUGAUCAAACCACUACAUUGCAGCCUGGGCAACAGAGCAAGACCCUGUCUCAAGACAAAAAACAAAAAAUAAAACCCCAGAUACCACCCUUGCCACUAAUUUUUUGUCUUAGAAAAAUUAUUUCUCAUAAAAAAUUAACUUUAUUACUUAGAAAUAAUUUUUAAAAUUGGUUUUAAUUUCCAUAUGGUAACUAUAGUUAUAUAACUACAUUUUAUGUAUAUGUAACAAACAAAAGCUCUAUGGGUUCUCAACAUGUUAUUUUUUAAGACUAUAAAGGGUUCCUGGGACUAAAAUGUUUGAGGGUGUUGGUAAAUCCUGGCUAUAAAUGGAGAGAGAAAUAAAAAGCCACUGAGAGACACACACCAGGGUCCUCAAGGGAAAAGUAGAGAAUCAUGACCCUUUCCCAGUAUUUUUUUCACAAAGACCACAUGAUUUCUGGAGUGUCUCCUCUUCUACUGAAAUAAACGUUCUCUUCUGAGAGGCAAAGAAUCAUAGAAUGAACACUAGAUUAAGAAUGUGAAUUUAAAUGAAAUAAUCCAUGUAAUGUGCUUAAAAUAGUAAGCAGUCAAGAAAAAUUAAGUUUACAAAAUAAGCAUCUGAAUGUUAGUUCAAAAUCCACCAUUUAUUCACUGUGAGACCUUGGAUACUUUAUUUAACUGCUGUGAAUCUAUUAUCUGGAAAACAGAAAUAACCAAGGCCAUAUUACUCUCUACAUAGUACAACUACUCGUGGAAUUGUGAUGAGAUCAAAAUUUUAAAAUGAGAUAAUGAAUUAAAGCAAAUAACAGUAUUAUAUGGUCACUCAUUAUCAUUUUAGAUAUUGUGAUUUUUCCCAUAGAACUUUUAUGCUAGGAUACUUUUAAGAAUUCUUAUACAUAUAAAAGCUUUCAGUUUGUGAUGAAUAUUUUGUGACCUCCUGUUAAGGACUGAACGUUUUCAUCUCUGAAAAAUUCCAGUGUUGAAAUCCUCGCCCCCAAAGUGAUUAUAUUGGGAGGUGGGGCCUUUGGGAGGUGAUUAAAUCAUGAAGGUGGAGGCUGCAUGCAUGGGAUUGACACCCUUACAAGAGGGACCCUUCAGAGCUCUCUCGCCCUCUAUCCUCCGUGUGAGGUUAUAAGGAUAGCUGGCAACCCAAAAGGGAGCCCUCAUCAGAACCCGGCCCCGCUUCCAGCCUGGUCCAGCACCCGAACUGACUUCCAGCCUCCAGAACUAUGAUACAUUUCUGAUGUUUACAAGCCACCCCCCAGACUAUGGUACUUUAUUAUAGCAGUCCAAACUAAGACACGUUCCAAGACUUUCACAUCAUAGGUAUUUCUUCCUAUUUUUAUAUUUGGCUCUGUUCUUCAGACAAUGUCAGAUGUAAAUAGGCAAAACUAUAAUUUGACAUAAGCUUUUAGUGGU